rnacentral:rRNA from 1 species
GGACGAAUAUUCCGCAAUGGGCGAAAGCCUGACGGAGCAAUGCCGCGUGUGGGAUGAAGCGCCUUCGGCGUGUAAACCACUGUCAGGUCCUAGGAACACUGACCGGGACCAGAGGAAGGGCCGGCUAACCUCGUGCCAGCAGCCGCGGUAAUACGAGGGGCCCAAGCGUUAAUCGGAAUCACUGGGCUUAAAGGGUGCGCAGGCGGACCCGAAAGCAUCUCGUGAAAGCCCCCGGCUCAACCGGGGAACA